AUUGAACGCUGGCGGCAGGCUUAACACAUGCAAGUCGAGCGGGGGAAGGUAGCUUGCUACCGGACCUAGCGGCGGACGGGUGAGUAAUGCUUAGGAAUCUGCCUAUUAGUGGGGGACAACAUCUCGAAAGGGAUGCUAAUACCGCAUACGUCCUACGGGAGAAAGCAGGGGAUCUGCGGACUUGGCGCUACUAGUUGAGCCUAAGUCGGAUUAGCUAGUUGGUGGGGUAGAGGCCUACCAAGGCGACGAUCUGUAGCGGGUCUGAGAGGAUGAUCCGCCACACUGGGACUGAGACACGGCCCAGACUCCUACGGGAGGUAGCAGUGGGGAAUAUUGGACAAUGGGGGGAACCCUGAUCCAGCCAUGCCGCGUGUGUGAAGAAGGCCUUAUGGUUGUAAAGCACUUUAAGCGAGGAGGAGGCUACUCUAGUUAAUACCUAGGGAUAGUGGACGUUACUCGCAGAAUAAGCACCGGCUAACUCUGUGCCAGCCGCCGCAGUAA
rnacentral:rRNA from 1 species